rnacentral:rRNA from 1 species
CAAUAGCGUAUAUUUAAGUUGUUGCAGUUAAAAAGCUCGUAGUUGGAUUUCGGAUGGGAUUUGCCGGUCCGUCGUUACGAUGUGCACUGGCCAGUCCUAUCUUGUUGUCGGGGACUAGCUCCUUGGAUUCACUUCCUGGGACUAGGAGCUGACGAGGUUACUUUGAGUAAAUUAGAGUGUUCAAAGCAAGCCUACGCUCUGAAUACAUUAGCAUGGAAUAACACGAUAGGACUCUGGCUUAUCUUGUUGGUCUGUGAGACCAGAGUAAUGAUUAAGAGGGACAGUCGGGGACAUUCGUAUUUCAUUGUCAGAGGUGAAAUUCUUGGAUUUAUGAAAGACGAACUUCUGCGAAAGCAUUUGCCAAGGAUGUUUUCAUUG